rnacentral:rRNA from 1 species
GCUAAAACCGGAUAGGUAGCAGACAAGCAUUUGACUGCUAUUAAAGUGGCUAAGGCCAUGAACAUGGAUGGACCUGCGGUGCAUUAGCUAGUUGGUGAGGUAACGGCCCACCAAGGCGACGAUGCAUAGCCGGCCUGAGAGGGCGGACGGCCACAUUGGGACUGAGACACGGCCCAAACUCCUACGGGAGGCAGCAUG